rnacentral:rRNA from 1 species
UACGUAGGGUGCAAGCGUUUAAUCGGAAUUACUGGGCGUAAAGCGUGCGCAGGCGGUUUUGUAAGUUUGUCGUGAAAUCCCCGGGCUCAACCUGGGAAUGGCGAUGAAGACUGCAAGGCUAGAAUCUGGCAGAGGGGGGUAGAAUUCCACGUGUAGCAGUGAAAUGCGUAGAGAUGUGGAGGAACACCGAUGGCGAAGGCAACCCCCUGGGUCAAGAUUGACGCUCAUGCACGAAAGCGUGGGGAGCAAACAGG